rnacentral:rRNA from 1 species
CAAGUCGAACGGCAGCGGGGGUAGCUUGCUACCUGCCGGCGAGUGGCGAACGGGUGAGUAAUACAUCGGAACGUGCCCUGUAGUGGGGGAUAACUAGUCGAAAGACUAGCUAAUACCGCAUACGACCUGAGGGUGAAAGUGGGGGACCGCAAGGCCUCAUGCUAUAGGAGCGGCCGAUGUCUGAUUAGCUAGUUGGUGGGGUAAAGGCCCACCAAGGCGACGAUCAGUAGCUGGUCUGAGAGGACGAUCAGCCACACUGGGACUGAGACACGGCCCAGACUCCUACGGGAGGCAGCAGUGGGGAAUUUUGGACAAUGGGGGCAACCCUGAUCCAGCAAUGCCGCGUGUGUGAAGAAGGCCUUCGGGUUGUAAAGCACUUUUGUCCGGAAAGAAAUCGCACUGGUUAAUACCUGGUGUGGAUGACGGUACCGGAAGAAUAAGGACCGGCUAACUACGUGCCAGCAGCCGCGGUAAUACGUAGGGUCCAAGCGUUAAUCGGAAUUACUGGGCGUAAAGCGUGCGCAGGCGGUUGUGCAAGACCGAUGUGAAAUCCCCGGGCUUAACCUGGGAAUUGCAUUGGUGACUGCACGGCUAGAGUGUGUCAGAGGGAGGUAGAAUUCCACGUGUAGCAGUGAAAUGCGUAGAGAUGUGGAGGAAUACCGAUGGCGAAGGCAGCCUCCUGGGAUAACACUGACGCUCAUGCACGAAAGCGUGGGGGAGCAAACAGGAUUAGAUACCCUGGUAGUCCACGCCCUAAACGAUGUCAACUAGUUGUUGGGGAUUCAUUUCCUUAGUAACGUAGCUAACGCGUGAAGUUGACCGCCUGGGGAGUACGGUCGCAAGAUUAAAACUCAAAGGAAUUGACGGGGACCCGCACAAGCGGUGGAUGAUGUGGAUUAAUUCGAUGCAACGCGAAAAACCUUACCUACCCUUGACAUGCCACUAACGAAGCAGAGAUGCAUUAGGUGCUCGAAAGAGAAAGUGGACACAGGUGCUGCAUGGCUGUCGUCAGCUCGUGUCGUGAGAUGUUGGGUUAAGUCCCGCAACGAGCGCAACCCUUGUCUCUAGUUGCUACGAAAGGGCACUCUAGAGAGACUGCCGGUGACAAACCGGAGGAAGGUGGGGAUGACGUCAAGUCCUCAUGGCCCUUAUGGGUAGGGCUUCACACGUCAUACAAUGGUGCAUACAGAGGGUUGCCAAGCCGCGAGGUGGAGCUAAUCCCAGAAAAUGCAUCGUAGUCCGGAUCGUAGUCUGCAACUCGACUACGUGAAGCUGGAAUCGCUAGUAAUCGCGGAUCAGCAUGCCGCGGUGAAUACGUUCCCGGGUCUUGUACACACCGCCCGUCACACCAUGGGAGUGGGCUUUACCAGAAGUAGUUAGCCUAACCGCAAGGAGGGCGAUUACCACG